rnacentral:rRNA from 1 species
GACGAACGCGGCGGCGUGCCUAAUACAUGCAAGUCGAACGAGAGCGACCGGUGCUUGCACUGGUCAAUCUAGUGGCGAACGGGUGAGUAACACGUGGGUAACCUGCCCAUCAGAGGGGGAUAACAUUCGGAAACGGAUGCUAAAACCGCAUAGGUCUUCGAGCCGCAUGGCUUGAAGAGGAAAAGAGGCGCAAGCUUCUGCUGAUGGAUGGACCCGCGGUGCAUUAGCUAGUUGGUGAGGUAACGGCUCACCAAGGCCGUGAUGCAUAGCCGACCUGAGAGGGUGAUCGGCCACAUUGGGACUGAGACACGGCCCAAACUCCUACGGGAGGCAGCAGUAGGGAAUCUUCCGCAAUGGACGCAAGUCUGACGGAGCAACGCCGCGUGAGUGAAGAAGGUUUUCGGGAUCGUAAAAACCCCUG